rnacentral:rRNA from 1 species
CCUACGGGUGGCAGCAGUGGGGAAUAUUGGACAAUGGGGGAAACCCUUAACCAGCCACGCCGCGUGAGGGAAGAAGGUUUUCGGAGUUUAAACCUCUGUCAGUGGGGACGAUAAUGACGUUACCCAUGGAGGAAGCCACGGUUAACUACGUGCCAGCAGCCGCGGUAAUAAGUAGGUGGCAAGCGUUGUCCGGAAUUACUCGGUGUAAAGGGAGCGUAGGCGGGAUGUCAAGUCAGAAGUGAAAAUUAUGGGCUCAACUCAUAACCUGCUUUUGAAACUGGUGUUCGUGAGUGAAGUAGAGGCAAGCGGAAUUCGUAGUGUAGCGGUGAAAUGCGUAGAUAUUAGGAGGAACACCAGUGGCGAAGGCAGCUUGCUGGGCUUUUACUGACGCUGAGGCUCGAAAGCGUGGGGAGCGAACAGGAUUAGAUACCCGUGUAGUC